CCCUGGCUCAGGACGAACGCUGGCGGCGUGCCUAAUACAUGCAAGUCGAGCGAAUCAAUAGGAGCUUGCUCCUGUUGGUUAGCGGCGGACGGGUGAGUAACACGUGGGCAACCUGCCUGUAAGACUGGGAUAACACCGGGAAACCGGUGCUAAUACCGGAUAAUCCUUUUCCUCUCAUGAGGAAAAGCUGAAAGUCGGUUUCGGCUGACACUUACAGAUGGGCCCGCGGCGCAUUAGCUAGUUGGUGAGGUAACGGCUCACCAAGGCGACGAUGCGUAGCCGACCUGAGAGGGUGAUCGGCCACACUGGGACUGAGACACGGCCCAGACUCCUACGGGAGGCAGCAGUAGGGAAUCUUCCACAAUGGACGAAAGUCUGAUGGAGCAACGCCGCGUGAGCGAUGAAGGCCUUCGGGUCGUAAAGCUCUGUUGUUAGGGAAGAACAAGUACCGGAGUAACUGCCGGUACCUUGACGGUACCUAACCAGAAAGCCACGGCUAA
rnacentral:rRNA from 1 species